rnacentral:rRNA from 1 species
CGCCUGUUUAUCAAAAACAUCUUUUCUUGUUAGUUUCUGAAGUAUGGCCUGCCCGCUGACGUAUUUUUGAGUUGAAGGGCCGCGGUAUAUUGACCGUGCAAAGGUAGCAUAGUCAUUAGUUCUUUAAUUGUGAUCUGGUAUGAAUGGCUUGACGAGACAUGGGCUGUCUUGGGUGUAGAAUUUGUUGUUGAAUUUUGAGUUUAAGUUAAAAUUCUUAGAUGUUUUUAUGGGACGAGAAGACCCUAUAGAGUUUAACAUUUUAUUGCGUAUUUCUUGUUGUUUGUUUUAAAUUUUUACGUGUCUCUUGUUUUGUUGGGGUGAUGGGAGGAAUUUAUUUAACUCCUCUUUUUGUGUGGUAUAUUGAUGUAUAUAUUAUAUUGAUCCAUUUAUUUUGAUUGUAAGAUUAAAUUACCUUAGGGAUAACAGCGUAA